rnacentral:rRNA from 1 species
CCUACGGGUGGCAGCAGUGAGGAAUAUUGGUCAAUGGACGAGAGUCUGAACCAGCCAAGUAGCGUGAAGGAUGACUGCCCUAUGGGUUGUAAACUUCUUUUAUAUGGGAAUAAAAUGUUCCCCGUGUGGGAUUUUGUAUGUACCAUAUGAAUAAGGAUCGGCUAACUCCGUGCCAGCAGCCGCGGUAAUACGGAGGAUCCGAGCGUUAUCCGGAUUUAUUGGGGUUAAAGGGAGCGUAGGUGGAUUGUUAAGUCAGUUGGGAAAGUUUGCGGCUCAACCGUAAAAUUGCAGUUGAAACUGGCAGUCUUGAGUACAGUAGAGGUGGGCGGAAUUCGUGGUGUAGCGGUGAAAUGCUUAGAGAUCACGAAGAACUCCGAUUGCGAAGGCAGCUCACUGGACUGCAACUGACACUGAGGCUCGAAAGUGUGGGUAUCAAACAGGAUUAGAUACACGGGUAGUC